rnacentral:tRNA from 1 species
GUGGGGUUGUAGCUCAGUGGUAGAGCACUUGCCUCACACAUGUGAGGCACUGGGUUUGAUCCUCAGCACCACA